GUCCCUGUAGCGCAAUGGAUCGCGCGUUGGACUUCUAAUCCAAAGGUCGUGGGUUCGAAUCCUACCUGGGAUG
rnacentral:tRNA from 1 species